UGUCUCUGAGCAGUGUCUGCGAUACAGAUCUAGUAAAGAAGAAAAGGAAGUCAUCACUUUCCUACUUGUGAAAAGUAUUCCUCUAUUUUCACAAACUCUUCAGUAUCGAAGUCUCAGGAACAAUGAGGAUCCAUGUUGUCUGUUUGCUGCUGGUGCUGCUCUCGGCCACCGUGCUCUCUCUGGAUAAAAAACCCCCAAACCGUUAUCAGAAAUUCAAAAAUCAGCAUAUCAAUAAAGAAAUGUGUCCUUGUGAGUGUAAUAAAGUAAUGCAAGGUAGACAAAUCAAUGGUAUCAAACCAAAACGCUGUAAGAAUAUCAAUACCUUUGUCCUAUCCGAUGCUGAAUCUGUGAAAGCCAUCUGUUUGGAUCAGGGAGAGCCUUUUCCUGGUAACCUGACCAAAAGUCUUAAACGUUUUGACAUUGUUGUCUGUGAAUGGGAUCAAAUGACAACCCCUCCUACCAACUGUUCUUACAAUGGUAAAAAACUCAAGAACAAGAACAUAAUAAUCAAAUGUGUAAAAGGCUUGCCUGUGCACUAUGAUCAAGACAUUGGUCACUGUGACUGAUGGAGCUGAUGUGUACUUCUCUUGCUUGCAUGACAAUGUUUUUGACACAUGUUUGUAAAAGGAAACAUACCUUUUGUAAAAACAUAGUACCUUUUUGUGCUUUUAGUUAUGAUGAAUGUUUCAAAAAAGUUAAAACAAUGCUGAAAAAUGUGAUUCUUAAUUUCUCUGGAAACAAAAGCAAAUGCCACAUUUUAUCUCUAUGGUGAAGAACUUCAAAGUAAUACAUAUGUGUCAAGCUUUCCUGUUCUUGCUUAAAAAACUGUUUAACCACUUA